AUUGAACGCUGGCGGUAUGCUUAAGACAUGCAAGUCGAACGGUAACAGGUUAAGCUGACGAGUGGCGGACGAGUGAGUAACGCGUGGGAAUCUACCUUGUAGUGGGGGAUAAGCCAGGGAAACUUGGACUAAUACCGCAUACGCCCUAAGGGGAAAGGCGCAAGUCGCUAUAAGAUGAGCCCGCGUCUGAUUAGGUAGUUGGUGGGGUAAAGGCCUACCAAGCCGACGAUCAGUAGCUGGUCUGAGAGGAUGAUCAGCCACGUCGGGACUGAGACACGGCCCGGACUCCUACGGGAGGCAGCAGUCGGGAAUAUUGGACAAUGGGGGAAACCCUGAUCCAGCAAUACCGCGUGUGUGAAGAAGGCCUGCGGGUUGUAAAGCUCUUUUGUCCGGAAAGAAAAGCAAUCGGUUAAUACCCGGUUGUUCUGACGGUACCGGAAGAAUAAGC
rnacentral:rRNA from 1 species